AAGUCGUAACAAGGUUUCCGUAGGUGAACCUGCGGAAGAUCAUUGUCGAAAAUUGCCAAGCAGGGCGACCCGCGGACAUGUUGAAAUAAAUCGUCGGGGGCACGGCGUCUAACGUGGCACGGCGCCCUCGACUGCCGGCCGGGCCCGCACCUUGCGGCCUGCUCCAGGAGCGGCAACGGGGGUGCGGGGCAAGGCUUGGCACAAGAACGAACCCCGGCGCGGAUCGCGCCAAGGAACGGUAACAUAGCGUGCGUUGCCUUGCCGCCGGAUGCCCGGCGAGCGAGGUGGCGACCGGUCGUAUCUGAACGACUCUCGGCAACGGAUAUCUCGGCUCUCGCAUCGAUGAAGAACGUAGCGAAAUGCGAUACUUGGUGUGAAUUGCAGAAUCCCGUGAACCAUCGAGUCUUUGAACGCAAGUUGCGCCCGAAGCCUCUAGGCUGAGGGCACGUCUGCCUGGGCGUCACGCAUAGCGUCGCCCCCGACCAAGCCACCGCGUCUCUGCAUGCUAGGUUGGGGCGGAGAGUGGCCUCCCGUGCGCCGUUGUGCGGUUGGCCUAAAAUUGGAGCUCGGCGACUGCGCCACGACGUCCGGUGGUGGACAAGGCGAAGGCCAAGGUUGCAUCGCGUCGCGCUCGGCCCGUCGCCGGUGAAGCUCGCACGACCCCGCCGCGCCGUCCUUUCGGCACCAACGCAGCGACCCCAGGUCA
rnacentral:rRNA from 1 species